AUUGAACGCUGGCGGCAGGCCUAACACAUGCGAGUCGAACGGUAACAGGAAGAAGCUUGCUUCUUUGCUGACGAGUGGCGGACGUGUGAGUAAUGUCUGGGAAACUGCCUGAUGGAGGGGGAUAACUACUGGAAACGGUAGCUAAUACCGCAUAACGUCGCAAGACCAAAGAGGGGGACCUUCGGGCCGCUUGCCAUCGGAUGUGCCCAGAUGGGAUUAGCUAGUAGGUGGGGUAACGGCUCACCUAGGCGACGAUCCCUAGCUGGUCUGAGAGGAUGACCAGCCACACUGGAACUGAGACACGGUCCAGACUCCUACGGGAGGCAGCAGUGGGGAAUAUUGCACAAUGGGCGAAAGCCUGAUGCAGCCAUGCCGCGUGUAUGAAGAAGGCCUUCGGGUUGUAAAGUACUUUCAGCGGGGAGGAAGGGAGUAAAGUUAAUACCUUUGCUCAUUGACGUUACCCGAAGAAGAAGCCCCGGCUAACUACGUG
rnacentral:rRNA from 1 species